rfam:Oryza glumipatula chromosome 5, whole genome shotgun sequence.
AAAAAGACAAACCCUAAGUUUCCGUGCCAACGUUUGACUGUCCGUCAUAUAUAAAUUUUUUUUAUAAUUAGUAUUUUCAUUACUGUUAGAUUCAUAUUUUUUUCAAAUAAGACGGACGGUCAAACGUUGGACACGGAAACCAGAGUUUGUUUUUUUU